rnacentral:rRNA from 1 species
GACGAACGCUGGCGGCGCGCUUAACACAUGCAAGUCGAGCGAAGCGGCGGACGGGUGAGUAACACGUGAGUAACCUGCCUUAGACAUUGGGAUAGCCUCGGGAAACCGGGAUUAAUACCAAAUGGUCUAAGAUGGACUCGCGUCCCAUUAGCUAGUUGGUGAGGUAACGGCCCACCAAGCCGACGAUGGGUAGCCGGCCUGAGAGGGUGAACGGCCACAUUGGACCUGAGCAACGGUCCAGACUCUACGGGAGGCAGAAGUGGGGAAUAUUGCAAAAUGGAGGGAACUCUGAUGCAGCGACGCCGCGUGAACGAAGAAGGCUUUCGAGUAGUAAAGUUCUUUUAUAUGAAAAGCGGUACCAUAAGAAAAAGCCCCGGCUAACUACGUGCCAGCCGCCGCGGUAAUUC